rnacentral:rRNA from 1 species
UACGGUAGGGCGCAAGCGUUGUCCGGAAUUAUUGGGCGUAAAGAGCUCGUAGGCGGUGUGUCGCGUCGGCCGUGAAAACUUGGGGCUUAACUCUGAGCGUGCGGUCGAUACGGGCAUCACUUGAGUUCGGCAGGGGAGGACUGGAAUUCCUGGUGUAGCGGUGGAAAUGACGCAGAUAUCAGGAGGAACACCGGUGGCGAAGGCGGGUCUCUGGGCCGAUACUGACGCUGAGGAGCGAAAGCAUGGGGAGCGAACAGG